CCCGCCUCGGCCUCCCCAAACGCUGGGAUUACAGGCGUGCGCCACCACACCUGGCUGAUUUUUGUAUUUUUAAUGGAGACAGGGUUUUCACCAUGUUGGCUGGGCUGGUCUUGAACUCCUGACCUCAAGUGAUCCGCCUGCCUCGGCCUCCCAAAGUGCUGGGAUUACAGGCGUGAGCCACCGCGCCCGGCCGGUCUCUCUUGUUUCUGUUGAUUUCCUUGUUUCUCCUCUGUCUCCCUGAUUGGAUUGUGAGCCCCGAGAAGGCAGGGGUUGGGUGUGACUUGAGGGCCCCUCCCUGCCUGUCUCGCCCCAUGGGGGCAGCGUGGACCCAGCUUAGCCUGGAGCCUCUAGCCUACAAAGCCGGUCACCAUAUCAGUGGGGUGCCUGUGGCCUAGGUGGCUCCUGAACCCUUGGAAUGUGGCCACUCUGAACUGAUGUGCGCUGGAAGUGCAAAAGGUACCCCAGCUUUUGAAGACUUGAUAUGCAAAAGGUGAUGUAAAAUGGCUCAAUGAGGAUCGUGCACAUUGACUACACAUGGAAAUGCAUCUACUGGGUUAGGUAAAAUGUUUCAAGUCACUUUCACCAACUCUCUUUGACUUUUUUUGAACGGGGCUGUCAGAAAAUGUAAAAAUAUGUAAGUGGCUUGCUGGCCGGGCAUGGUGGCUCACACCUGUAACCCCAGCGCUUUGGGAGGCUAAGGCGGGCAGAUCACCUGAGGUCAGGAGUUCGAGACCAGCCUGGCCAACGUGGUGAAACCCCGUCUCUACUAAAAAUACAAAAAUUAGCCGGCAUGGUG
rnacentral:lncRNA from 1 species